AUACCUUUUUUGGCCUUUUGGCUAAGAUCAAGUGUAGUAUUUGUUCUUAUCGGUUUAAUAUCUGAUACGUGGGUCAUCGACCCACUAUAAUAUUAAAUUAAUUUCUUAUGGGGGUAGGGUUCACGGCACUGCUGCACGGGCCUGACGCCUUCUAUAUAGGAUAUGAGUGGAUGAUGGUGUUCAAUAAUUGUGUACAUAAU